UGACCUCAGUUUAGAUGAGACUACCCGCUGAACUUAAGCAUAUCAGUAAGCGGAGGAAAAGAAACUAACAAGGAUUCCCUUAGUAGCGGCGAGCGAACAGGGAUGAGCCCAGCACCGAACCUCGCGCCCGGUUGAGCGGGUGCCGAGGAAUGUGGUGUUCGGGAGGAUCGUGCGCGUCUGUCCGGUAUCUAUCGUCCAAGUCUCCAUGAACGGGGCGAGCAACCCACAGAGGGUGUCAGGC
rnacentral:ncRNA from 1 species